rnacentral:miRNA from 1 species
AGCAUUGGGUUGGCCAUAGGUUC